CCUACGGGAGGCAGCAGUGAGGAAUAUUGGUCAAUGGACGAGAGUCUGAACCAGCCAAGUAGCGUGAAGGAUGACUGCCCUAUGGGUUGUAAACUUCUUUUAUACGGGAAUAAAGUUCAGCAUGUGUGCCUUUUUGCAUGUACCUUAUGAAUAAGGAUCGGCUAACUCCGUGCCAGCAGCCGCGGUAAUACGGAGGAUCCGAGCGUUAUCCGGAUUUAUUGGGUUUAAAGGGAGCGUAGGCGGGUGGUUAAGUCAGUUGUGAAAGUUUGCGGCUCAACCGUAAAAUUGCAGUUGAUACUGGAUGUCUUGAGUGCAGUUGAGGUAGGCGGAAUUCGUGGUGUAGCGGUGAAAUGCUUAGAUAUCACGAAGAACCCCGAUUGCGAAGGCAGCUUACUGAACUGUAACUGACGCUGAUGCUCGAAAGUGUGGGUAUCAAACAGGAUUAGAUACCCUUGUAGUC
rnacentral:rRNA from 1 species